rnacentral:misc_RNA from 1 species
GAUGAAGAACGCAGCGAAAUGCGAUAAGUAAUGUGAAUUGCAGAAUUCAGUGAAUCAUCGAAUCUUUGAACGCACAUUGCGCCCGCUAGUAUUCUGGCGGGCAUGCCUGUCCGAGCGUCAUUUCAACCCUCAAGCCCCCGGGCUUGGUGUUGGGGAUCGGCGAGCCUCCGCGCCCGCCGUCCCCUAAAUCUAGUGGCGGUCUCGCUGUAGCUUCCUCUGCGUAGUAGCACACCUCGCACUGGGAAACAGCGCGGCCACUCCGUUAAACCCCCAACUUCUGAACGUUUGACCUCGGAUCAGGUAGGAAUACCCGCUGAACUUAAGCAUAUCAAUAAGCGGAGGA